UGGGGAAUAUUGGUCAAUGGGGGAAACCCUGAACCAGCAACGCCGCGUGAAGGAAGAAGGCCUUCGGGUUGUAAACUUCUUUGACAGGGGACGAAGGAUGACGGUACCCUGAAAACAAGCUACGGCUAACUACGUGCCAGCAGCCGCGGUAAUACGUAGGUGGCAAGCGUUGUCCGGAAUUACUGGGUGUAAAGGGCGCGUAGGCGGGACUGCAAGUCAGAUGUGAAAUCUACCGGCUUAACCGGGAGCGUGCAUUUGAAACUGUGGUUCUUGAGUGAUGGAGAGGCAAGUGGAAUUCCUAGUGUAGCGGUGAAAUGCGUAGAUAUUAGGAGGAACACCAGUGGCGAAGGCGACUUGCUGGACAUUAACUGACGCUGAAGCGCGAAAGCGUGGGGAGCAAACAGG
rnacentral:rRNA from 2 species